rnacentral:rRNA from 1 species
GACGAACGCUGGCGGCGUGCUUAACACAUGCAAGUCGAACGGUAAGGCCCUUCGGGGUACACGAGUGGCGAACGGGUGAGUAACACGUGGGUGAUCUGCCCUGCACUUCGGGAUAAGCCUGGGAAACUGGGUCUAAUACCGGAUAGGACCCUGGGAUGCAUGUCCUGGGGUGGAAAGCUUUUGCGGUGUGGGAUGGGCCCGCGGCCGAUCAGCUGGUUGGUGGGGUGAUGGCCUACCAAGGCGACGACGGGUAGCCGGCCUGAGAGGGUGACCGGCCACACGGGGACUGAGAUACGGCCCAGACUCGUACGGGAGGCAGCAGUGGGGAAUAGUGCACAAUGGGGGCAAGCCUGAUGCAGCGACGCCGCGUGAGGGAUGACGGCCUUCGGGUUGUAAACCUCUUUCAGCACCGACGAAGCGCAAGUGACGGUAGGUGCAGAAGAAGGACCGGCCAACUACGUGCCAGCCGCCGCGGUAA